UGGUUAAAAAGCUCGUAGUUGGAUCUCGGCGGACUGAGGGCGGUUUGCUUGCUAGUAUUACUGCCCUAUAGUCCGUAGUUUUGCCAGAGGUUUCGGGGUGCUCUUAAUCGAGUGUCCCGGGAUGCUGGCAGGUUUACUUUGAAAAAAUUAGAGUGCUCAAAGCAGGCUAUUACGCCUGAAUAUUCGUGCAUGGAAUAAUAGAAUAGGAAGUCGUUUCUAUUUUGUUGGUUUUCGGAAAUCGACUUAAUGAUUAAUAGGGACAGUCGGGGGCAUUUGUAUUCAAACGACAGAGGGGAAAUUCUUGGACCGUUUGAAGACAAACUACUGCGAAAGCAUUUGCCAAGAAUGUUUUCAUUAAUCAAGAACGAAAGUUAAAGGUUCGAAGGCGAUUAGAUACCGCCCUAGUUUUAACCAUAAACGAUGCCAGCUAGCGAUCUGCGGACGUUUUUUUUGUAGACUCCGCAGGAAGCUUCCGGGAAACCAAAGCAUUUGGGUUCCAGGGGAAGUAUGGUUGCAAAGCUGAAACUUAAAGGAAUUGACGGAAGGGCACCACCAGGAGUGGAGCCUGUGGCUUAAUUUGACUCAACACGGGAAAUCUCACCAGGCCCUGACACUGGAAGGAUUGACAGAUUGAUAGCUCUUUCUUGAUUCGGUGGGUGGUGGUGCAUG
rnacentral:rRNA from 1 species